rnacentral:lncRNA from 1 species
GUUAUUAUUAUCAUAUAAUAAUAAUAAUAAUAAUAAUAAUAAUAAUAAUAAUAAUAAUAAUAAUAAAGAAGAAGAGAAGAGAAAACAAGAAAAAGGGAAGAAAAAAAAGUGUCCUCCAAUGGGGGGGAUGGUGGGUAAAAAAAACGCAUACUGUUUACAUGAGUUUUGUGGUGUACUAAUAGUUCUAGUUUACGACUGUUGGCUUACAAUUUACUUUUUCCCUGUUCAUUUGAUGUGUGGACAACAUAACAAAUGGAUGGAGGGGAUGAAUCUGAUGAAAUAAGUUCAACUCUCUUUCAAAAUACCAGGUAUUUCAUGGAAAUUACAUAAUCCAAUAUGGCCGCCAUCAUAUGACGUCAUAAUAUGCAAAUUAGAUGGGAAAAAUUACUCCCUUCAUAAACUUUAGGUCAUUCUCAAUAUUUGUCUCAUUUACACUUUGUCUCUAUCUCAAACUACAUUCAAGCCAGAGCCUUCUGAAAUUUAGAUGUCAAAAUCUAGUAUUUUUUAAAAUAAAACCAGGCGCCUAAAGGGUUAAAGACUUCAUUUUACUGAAUUGUUAUUAUUUGUUCUCAGGUGGCCAGGAUGCAGACCCCUUCACCGGCUGGACCGUCCCAGACCCUUAAAGCUGCGGCCUGUCACUCUCCUCGCCCAGCUAAGACUGUCCGGACACCAGAUCCCUCAUCGACCUGCUGGCCCUGGAUCAUCAAAGACGGACUCACCACCUCUCAUUCCCCUUCUAAAGAGUGUGACACAAGUACAAGGGAUGUUUGAGAGUUAAAGGUCCUUUUUAAAGCGUCCUUCAAACUUUGAUCAAGAUGACAAGGGGUGACAAAGGUUUAUGAUGGUCUCAAAACAUUUAAAUUUGAAAUAUGGAAUAAUCUGUCAGUAAUGUGUUCAAGUCAAGUAUGAUUAGCAUAAUAAUUUGUAUGUGUAAAAGUGUCAGCUCUUUUAUAUAUGUCCAAUUGAUCGGGAAAAUUUGGUGAAAAUGAUUGUAUGAUUAAAUAGUUGAUAGUUAUUAAUUUAAUUAAAGCUGCAGUAGAUAAAAUGUUUUUAGUCACAUUUGCUUAAACUGUCACUAUGCUAUGACUGUAGUUUAUGAAACAGUCAGGGUUCUCCCCAGACGGUGGAACAGCGGCGCCGCGCCACUAUACCACUAGGUAAGCGCCGCUAUACUCCGCGCGUGACAGUGACGAGCGUCCGUCCGUCAGUCCCCCGGUUGACGGCUAGGAGCUCCCGACUGACGGCGAUGAGUGUCCCCGGUUGACGGAGUUGAUGACCGUCUGUCCAUGUUCCCCCCCUCCGGAUUGACGUUGACGAGCGUUGCCCCCCCCGGACAGACGGUGCGCCGCUACACUAAAAAUUUCUGGGGAGAACCCUGAACAGUUGAUUACCACAACUAAUAUAAAUGAUGUUAACUAGGCUAAUGAUU